CAUCCCCUUCGGGAAAGCGCCUCGCCCGUCAUUCAAACGAACGCCGCUUCUCACACACCGCCACCCGUCCCCGUGGCGGUCAAAUCCCCAAUUAUCGCAUCUCGUCCGGAGCAUGGACGCCGAGCACGGCGAGACCGGAAGCCAGAACCGAGACAACGCCCUGAACCAGGGCAAGUCGCGCGAUUGUUACUUCUGCAUCAUUCUGGAUAAUGNNNNGAGGCAUAUCGCGCCCCUUGGUCCAAAGCGCGUGAAAUUCACUCGCGAGAUCAUACAGGUA
rnacentral:misc_RNA from 1 species